rnacentral:rRNA from 1 species
AACGCUAGCUACAGGCUUAACACAUGCAAGUCGAGGGGCAGCAUGAACUUAGCUUGCUAAGUUUGAUGGCGACCGGCGCACGGGUGAGUAACGCGUAUCCAACCUCCCGNNNACUCGGGAAUAGCCUUUCGAAAGAAAGAUUAAUACCCGAUGGUAUCUUAAGCGCACAUGCNAAUAANAUUAAAGAUUUAUCGGUNAGCGAUGGGGAUGCGUUCCAUUAGAUAGUAGGCGGGGUAACGGCCCACCUAGUCGACGAUGGAUAGGGGUUCUGAGAGGAAGGUCCCCCACAUUGGAACUGAGACACGGUCCAAACUCCUACGGGAGGCAGCAGUGAGGAAUAUUGGUCAAUGGGCGCGAGCCUGAACCAGCCAAGUAGCGUGAAGGAUGAAGGUCCUACGGAUUGUAAACUUCUUUUAUAAGGGAAUAAAGUCACCCACGUGUGGGUGUUUGUAUGUACCUUAUGAAUAAGCAUCGGCUAACUCCGUGCCAGCAGCCGCGGUAAUACGGAGGAUGCGAGCGUUAUCCGGAUUUAUUGGGUUUAAAGGGAGCGUAGACGGGUCGUUAAGUCAGCUGUGAAAGUUUGAGGCUCAACCUUAAAAUUGCAGUUGAUACUGGCGUCCUUGAGUACGGUUGAGGCAGGCGGAAUUCGUGGUGUAGCGGUGAAAUGCAUAGAUAUCACGAAGAACUCCGAUUG